ensembl:lncRNA
AUAAAAUGACAUCACAGCAUUUAAACAUGUUUUGAAUGAAAACAUCAGCAUAUGAACACAAAACUGAAGAGACACUGCAACCGCAUGAAAGCAGACCACUAUUUAGUGACAUUUCGACGUUUCCCUGAGGAUUAACUGCUCCGUAAUUUACCAAGAACUAAAGUAAGCUCAAAUUUCAGUUUAUAAACUUAAGAUCAUUUACUUAAAUAUAUAAAUGUAAUAUUUGACAAAUUAUACAUAAAUUUGAAAAUGUUCUUAAUCAUAUCUUAGAGUGACAGAAGCUCUUUUUAACACGAUUAUUUCUGAGAUUAUUUUGUUCAUUUAGGAAAAUAGAGAAGACUUAAGUUUUGUUCUCAAACAAACUGAGGCUGCGUCCACAUGUACACGGCUAUUUUUGAAAGCGCAGCUUUGUCUCUGCAUUCGGGCCUUUCGUCCACACCUAAACAGCAGAUUGAGUCACUGAAAGGUGAGAUUUUUUUAAAACUCCUGCCAGGGUGGAGAUUUUUGAAAACGACGUUUUUGUGUUUAGGUGUGGAUGAGGAAAACGGACAUAUGGACUGGAUUUUUUUUUUUAAAUGAAAAAGGAAAACGUCCGUUUUCAAACAUAGCCGUGUACGUUCGGACGCAGCCUAAAGUUAUCUCAAAAAAAGCAAAUUGUCUGAACAUUCUGAGUUGAGGUUUAGUGAUCAUUGUUGUUUUGUGUUCCUUGUAGUCAAAAUGAGUGGAAGUGGAGAUGGAUUUCAAACUAACCGUAACGGCCAACAGGUUAACCCACAAUCAAUUGCAAGUGGAGAUCAGGAACCUGCUCAUCAACCAGCUAACCGAAGAGCUAACCGAAGAGCUAACCGGCGAGCUAACCGACGAGCUAACCGACCAGCUAACCGACCAGCUAACGAAGAUAUCGGUGGACUCCGGGGCUUCGCGAACGAUCUUUAUCUUGCUCUUCGUGAUAUUUAUUUGUUUCUGGAUAGGCUAAUAGCUUCAGUACUGGAACAAUAUGACAAUUACCUUUACAAUGACACUGACACUGACGAUGACACUGACGAUGACGAUGACAAUGACAACAAUGUCAAUGUUCAAAAUAUUAAUGUAAGGGAAUUUAAUGCUAAUGCUGACAACAAUGAACAGCAUGAGGAUCAUAAUGCUGUGGUUGUUGUUGGCAUUGAAAAUGAGGAUUCGGAUGAGGCAUUUGAAGACUGUGUGGAUGUUGACCAGCACAUCCCAGAAGAGGACCCUCAGCCAGGUGUAUCCAGGAGGAGGUCUAGAGAGAUGGAUGAAGAAGAAGAUGUGGAACCAAACAAAAGAAUCAGAUGGAGCGAGGAGUUUUCUGAUGAUGACUCUGACUUCUUCUCUGCUUGUGACACUGAUAGCGAGAGCUGUCCUCGUGUAGGUAAUAUUGCCGAUGAGGACAUCAGUCAGCAGUCAACAGAAGAAGAACCGCAGCCUGGUGGAUCCACGAAAAGGUCCAGAGAGGAAGAUGUUGAUGAAGAAGAGCGUGAUAGCAAAAAAUCCAGGCUUGCACACUCUGAUUCGGGGACCAGCUCAGCUGUGUGUACGACCACUCUGAGAGCAGCAGUGAUGAACUUUUUGAAGAUGCACACGAAGAGCUUGGCAACCAUGAAGGUGGAGGCUCGAGGAAGUGUUCCCGAGAGGAUUUUGAGGAAGAAGAGGAAUACUUGCCUGUAUGCAAAUUUCGGAGGUGUUCAACUGAGUCCAGCAGCAGCAGUGAUGAAGACUAACACCAUUUCGACGGGUUUCUUCAGUAUCCUUUUAGUAGGCUGAUGGCCUACUCAGGUGACCCUGAAUCCUCCAUGCUGCAAUAAGCUGGGCAUACACUGUGCUGCAAUUUUUUCAGUCGCGUUAUUCAGCUCCUGGUCAAACUGUACGAUUGACUCACAGGGAUGAGAAGUUUGUGCCUCCAUCGCUCGUGUCCAGAUCACACGCCGCACCGCCGUUCUGCUCCGUCUUUUCACACUCAUUUCUGCGUUUGCGCGUGCGCAGUGUAAGACGCUAUGUUCACAGGAAAAUGCCACCAAUACACAAUGGCGAUAUGACAUACACAGCACAAAUAAAAGCAUAAUAGGAAAAUUAAUAGAAUAAAUCUAUACAAACAUGGCCAGCAUUAACCGGUAGAAAAGGCAAGAUUAAACAAAUACGUUUUAAGCCGUGAUUUAAAAGAUUGGAUAGAAUCAGAUGCCCGGAUGCCAAUCGGAAGGUUGUGCGCGUGCGCAGUGUAAGAUGCUGUGGUGACGCCCUCAGGACGGCCGACAGGAUUUCAAACAGGUUUGAUUUUCUUACGAGCAAACGAUUGAUGAUCGGGAGCUGGUCGAGAAGUGUUAAUCGCUUCUCGUUACCCCAUGUAGACGAUGCACGACACACGAUCCUCCAAACGGUCGCACGACUGAAAAAUCGGCUCAAGAUGGGCUAAAAAUCGCACAGUGUAUGCCCAGCAUUAGGCUGCCGGGGGAUUCCCAUGAUGCACUGGGUGUUUCUUCUUCACCCACUAUGUUUAAUAGACCUCUCUGCACUGAAUCGUACUUGUUAUUAACCUCUGUCUCUCUUCCACAGCAUCUCUUUAUCCUGUUUUCCUUGCCCCUCCCCAACCGGUCGCAGCAGAUGGCCGCCCCUCCCUGAGCCUGGUUCUGCUGGAGGUUUCUUCCUGUUAAAAGGGAGUUUUUCCUUCCCACUGUCGCCAAAGUGCUUGCUCAUAGGGGGUCAUAUGAUUGUUGGGGUUUUCUUUGUAAGUAUACCUUACAACAUCAAGUGCCUUGAGGUGACUGUUGCUGUCAUUUGGUGCUCUAUAAAUAAAAUUGAAUUGAAAAUUGAAUAGAUGUCACUGUGAUGAUUUC